AUAAUAAUGUAGUGAUGCGAGGUAAACAACACAAUCAACACACAAAGGACUGCUACGAGUAUGCUGCACACACGUCCAAAUUAAAAUCAAAUGGACUGUUUCUACCUGCAUUUCUACUGACUUUUUAACAAGCUAUUUGCAUCCAUAGCGGCCGCAUGCAGUUAACGGAGGGAUGCGCCGAUUGCAACGUUAACACACCUCUGGUAAGAUUUAUCGCCAUCAUGCGCGUAUUUGUCCUAAGGUUACUGCACUGGCCUGGGCACUGAAACAUGGUCCUGACUUCGCUGCUGCUACCAACUAGCCAAACAGCCUCAAUGGACUUUGGAGCUGACGAGUUACUGUAACGUUAGCUAGCAAAACAGCUUUCGCCACCGAGAUUUGCUCGAUAUUUUGGUGUUAUUUCUCCCCAUACUUUCAGCUAACUGCCCGACAGGACCGAGUGGAGGCCGGACGAGCGGUUCAAAAUCAUUCUACGAUACCUUUCUAAAGCUUCACCACCACCGCGGUACGACCGCACGCGCCGUCAACUGCUCACGCGGACGGGGAGAACAUUCCGACCGGUGUGCCGUUUGACUAGUGGCGACGCGCACGCGGCGUCGGCCACCGAACUAAAAUGCACAAUUCUUGUUAUUUUGGGGAGGACAAACCUCUUCACACCUCAGCACGGCUCCGAGGUCCAGGGCUCCGUCUUCAAGUGGUUGCCCGUGUCACGUCACGCAGCGUGUGCAAAUUCUUAUCGCGAGGGCGAUUCGUUUGUGUUUUUAAACGGCUGACAGCGUGCAGAAAUCAUGACUGACUGACGGUAGCUUCCAUGUUUAGCUCGCCUUGCUGUACUAUGAUGGGAAAGUAUGUAAUAAGACGUCUGACAAGGAAAGAGUUAUUGAGAUGAUACUAAAAAAUAACACAAAUCAAUUUAUGAAAU